GUGGGAGGGGGCUUGCUCCCGAUGGCGGUGGGUCAGUCAAUGCAUGAGGUGACUGACCCACUGCUAUCGGGAGCAAGCCCCCUCCCAC
rnacentral:misc_RNA from 1 species